ensembl:snRNA U7 U7 small nuclear RNA
AUGUGUUACAGCUCUUUCAGAAUUUGUCUAGCAGGCUUUCCAGUUUUUGCCCCU